rnacentral:rRNA from 1 species
AUACGGGGGGUGCAAGCGUUAAUCGGAAUUACUGGGCGUAAAGCGCGCGUAGGCGGUUUGCUCAGUCGGAUGUGAAAGCCCAGGGCUCAACCUUGGAACUGCAUACGAUACUGGCAGACUAGAGUGUGAGAGAGGAUAGUGGAAUUUCCGGUGUAGCGGUGAAAUGCGUAGAUAUCGGAAGGAACAUCAGUGGCGAAGGCGACUGUCUGGCUCAACACUGACGCUGAGGUGCGAAAGCGUGGGUAGCAAACAGGAUUAGAAACCCUAGUAGUCC